rnacentral:rRNA from 1 species
UAGGGAAGUCUUCCACAAUGGGCGAAAGCCUGAUGGAGCAACGCCGCGUGUGUGAUGAAGGGUUUCGGCUCGUAAACACUGUUGUAAGAGAAGAAUGACAUUGAGAGUAACUGUUCAAUGUGUGACGGUAUCUUACCAGAAAGGAACGGCUAAAUACGUGCCAC